CAGGAUGAACGCUAGCUACAGGCUUAACACAUGCAAGUCGAGGGGCAGCAUGAACUUAGCUUGCUAAGUUUGAUGGCGACCGGCGCACGGGUGAGUAACACGUAUCCAACCUACCGUUUACUACGGGAUAGCCUUCUGAAAAGGAGAUUAAUACCGUAUGGUAUUCUAAAGUUUCAUGACAUUAGAAUUAAAGGUUUACCGGUAAUCGAUGGGGAUGCGUUCCAUUAGAUAGUAGGCGGGUAACGGCCCACCUAGUCAGCGAUGGAUAGGGGUUCUGAGAGGAAGGUCCCCCACAUUGGAACUGAGACACGGUCCAAACUCCUACGGGAGGCAGCAGUGAGGAAUAUUGGUCAAUGGGCGAGAGCCUGAACCAGCCAAAAGUAGCGUGAAGGAUGACUGCCCUAUGGGUUGUAAACUUCUUUUAUAAAGGAAUAAAGUGGUCCACGUGUGGAUUUUUGUAUGUACUUUAUGAAUAAGGAUCGGCUAACUCCGUGCCAGCCGCCGC
rnacentral:rRNA from 1 species